CAGGGCGACGGGGAGGGGGCGGGGCGCCGGCCGUACGCUCCCGAGGGCUUACCUUGACUCAGUGGCCACCCCGCGGACCUUCAGAUGGCAGAGCCACCGGGGGAUUUCUGCACCGAUGAGGGCUGUGCAGGUGACGUCGUCGUAGAAAAGUACCUGGCGGAGUCCAAGGAGUCCGCAUCGCACGUCCAGCUGGCGUGCCGGGGGCCGCACUGCGCCUUCCCCGUGGAUGGCAGUGAGCUUGGUGUAUGGAACGCCGGGGACCCUUCUCGCCAGCUUCUAAUCUUAAGAGGACACCAUCAGCCAAUUACUGCUGUGGCGUUUGGAAACACAGCGGAUCCACUUCUGAUCUGUUCUGCGUCACAAGAUUAUGUUAUAAAGUGGAACCUAUGAAUGCCGA